GCCGGGGUCGCCGAGUCCGGCUAAGGCGGUAGACUCGAGAUCUACUGGGCUUUGCCCGCGUGGGUUCAAAUCCCACCCCCGGCG
rnacentral:tRNA from 1 species